UACGUAGGGUGCGAGCGUUAAUCGGAAUUACUGGGCGUAAAGCGUGCGCAGGCGGUUCGUUAAGUUCGUUGUGAAAGCCCCGGGCUCAACCUGGGAACUGCAAUGGAAACUGGCGGGCUUGAGUGUGGCAGAGGGGGGUGGAAUUCCGGCGUGUAGCAGUGGAAAUGCGUAGAGAUGCGGAGGAACACCGGAUGGCGAAGGCAGCCCCCUGGGCCAACACUGACGCUCAGGCACGAAAGCGUGGGGAGCAAACAGG
rnacentral:rRNA from 1 species